rnacentral:antisense_RNA from 1 species
CUUCAACGAGCCCAGCCACAAAGGAAGUUGGGGAUCACGCCCCUGUCCGUAGGUGGCCAGCAGCGCCUGCGCCUC